rnacentral:lncRNA from 1 species
CAGGCCCAAAAGCACAUACUUUUCGAGUAAGCACGUGAAUUUAUAAACAUUUCUACAUGAAUCACUCCUGGCAGAGGUGCUUACAGCAAAAGCACACCCAAAAGCACGUACUUUUUCCAGUAAGCACUUGAAAUAACAAAAAAAUUGUGCAUGUUUAUGAUAAAAUCACUUCCAGCAGAAGUGCUUACAACAUAAGCAGACCCAACAGCACAUACUUUUCGAGUAAACACUUGAAUUAUUAAACAUUUCUACAUGUUCAUGAUAAAAGCACUUCUAGCAGAAGUGAUUGAUUAUACCUAAGCAGACCCAAACCAAUCCGAAAUUAUUAAAAAAAAAACAAAAUGCUUGAGGGGGUUUGUUUCUGACCUGAGCGCGUAAAUGAGAGAGCCGCCGGACAAAGCGACGGUGAAAGCUCCCCUCUCCUUCACAAACUUGGCCGACAGGUCGGCGGUGUACUUCGCCAGACGCACCGCCACUUCCUCCGCCGUCUGAAACUUCUCCACCUUCUUCUGACACUGACCAGCCAUCUCUGCUGCCGCCGAUGAUGCCGAUGAUGCGGAAAUUGGGUUCUUGAAAUUCAAGCGAACGGGUUUAAUCGAGAGGGAUAGAGAUCUUGGCGCCGAUCGCAAUAAGAUUAUCGCCGGCGCGCGAGAUGUACGCGAUGAGGAGAGAGUCGUGCCGAGUGAGAGGGAAAGACGGGUCGGGGAGCGUACGGAGGCCAUGCGCAGUGCGCACCCGGGCUUACUUUAGGUAUUGGCUGCGGAAAAAAACCGACCGGGCCACAAAAGUCAAACGGUGAGUGAUGAAGUACGGUUACGGUGGACUGCAGUUGGAGGGAGUUGGUCAGUGACUGUUAACUGACUUGGGCGGUGAACCCAAUGGACUUGUGGAUAUGAAUUAAGGCCCGUUUGAUAAUUAUUUUUUUAUUUAAAUUACGUCGAUAAUUUUACAACAUUUACCAACUCGUGCGGUGCAAGAUAUUUGUAAUUCAGUUGGUUAUGUACAAAAUUUACGAUUCACGUGUAUAUGAGUUAGCGUCUACUUAAAAUUUUAAAAUUGCAUUGGUAAAAAGCUCUUCCAACUUUUAUACAAUUUAGAAGCACUUAUAAGCAUGUCGAAUAUGACACAACUUCAUCUUCUUCUUUUUUGUCCAGGACACAACUUCAUCUAAAAAACGUUUUUUAGUUCGAAAAACAUUUUCUAUUAAACAGUGUCAAAUACAAAUACAUAAACUGUGUCAACAAUACUUUCAUUAACAAAUAAACACAUUUUGAUAAACUAGGUCAAAAGCGCUUUUGGUAGCAAAAAUACUUUAUCCUGAAAGAAAAGCUUUUGAUCGCUUGAAAGUUACGUUUGAGACAAAUUUUGGACAGCUAAGAGUGCUUUAUGACAUAAAAAAAAAUCACUCCUAAUUACAUUUGGUUGAAAAACUUAUAAGCAUUUUUUAGUCGUAAAAGCAUAAUAGCUCGUUUAUAUGUGUUUUUAAAAUGAUUAAAAACGCUUUUAGAGAAAAUAUUUUUGGAUUCCAAAAGCACUUAAAGUGCUUUAUGCAAGAAGCACCAAUUAUGUGCUUCUUCCAGGAAUCACCAAUUAUGUGCUGCUUCCAGGAAGCACUUUAAGUGUUUUUCCAAGAUUUAUUUGCAUUUUUACUAAGAAUUAAUUCUAAAACAUGUUCACCAAAAACAUUUUCAAUCAUUUUAAAAACACAUCCAAACGAGUUACAAGUGUUUUUAGUCUAAGCAAUAUCAAACAACUUUCGCAAACAUGCUUUUACUACUUAAGAGCUGAGGCCCACUUAAGACAAACUUACUUGCAUGCAAUCUAAACCACUACUGAAAUAUAUACAUCACAGAGGACCCACUUAAGACAACUUUCGCAGUCUGUGUCUGCGGCAAGGUGCUUUUCCGACGCCGACGGUUAAACAACCGCCGUGGUACGAGGGAACGGAGAGCAGCAGAAUAUAUAGUAGCUUUACCACUACUGAAAUAUACAUCACAGAGGACCCAAAAGGUCACCAGUUCUUAUUGCCACCACAGAGGACCAAAAAGGUCACGAGUUCUUACUACUAGCAAGAAAAGCAAGCAGCGAAUCACAGUGAUUUCUGCCUACAUUAUUGAACACAAACACAUUAACAUCGACAUGUAAAUAGGAAAUACAUUGGAUGCAAGUGCAACGCAUCGACAUUCUGCUCCUACAGCUUGGAAGCUGCAUCGUGAUCUAAAAACCAAGUUACCUCGUCUUCAGCUGCGAGCAACUGAGCAGGCAAAGUAUCAGGAUGCUGAAUAUUUCCGAGUGCUUUCUGCACGGCAUCAGCUGUGUCAUGGCCUGUCACCACCAUUGCAUUGUAUGCAGCAGAGUUGAUCACCGGAAAAGUAAAAGUAAUUCUCUGUGGAGGUGGCUUUGGGGAGUCCAUAAUGUGAGUCACCCAUUUCGUCUUCUCGUUGCAAAGCGCAUGACCAGGGAAUAGAGAAGCAAGAUGUCCAUCUGGACCCAUACCCAGAAGUAUGAGAUCAAACUUUGGAAAUCCAGUAGCUUUUGAAGUGGCAAUCACAUUGCGCUGGACCAAAUGUUUAAGACAGGUUUCGUAAUCUUCUGCUGCUGCCUCGGCCGAAAGUGCAUCAUUAAUGGCGUAAACCUGACCAGGGGGAAUCAGUACCUGCCAAAAUCCAAAAUUUAGCAAGAUUAAGCUGAUGAAUUAACGACCUUGUGCCAUUAGGCCCUUGGAGGGCUUAGAAUGCUUUAGAUCAUAGUCACGCAUCAAAUGUUUACUCUAGACAGAGUUAAAAGAGUACAUUUCUUUCUUCAUCUCAUAACCAUCAUCAUUGCCAUAUCGAACCCUAAAAACAGAAGCACGACCCGAAAUUCCCAAAUUUCAGAUUGUCCAUUAAUUACACUGAUACAAAGAGCCAUAUCACUCACCAAUCUCAUUCACAUAUAAAUCAAAUUACUAUGAAUCUUCACAAGGAGCAAGCAAAACAAUAAGAGCAACUAAAAUUAAAAAUCGACCACAUAAAAAUCACGGCUUUGACACGCAAUAUUGCAAAAUUUAGUACUUUGACACAGCAUUCAGAAGAAAGCAUAAAAAAUUGUACCUUACAGAGCAAACCAUCAAAAGCAAGUUUAUAGUUACUGUCGGGGUGAUCCUUCUUCACCACUCUCUCGUCCAGCCAGAACACAUGCCAUUUCCCCCACUCCACCGUAUCCUUAUACGGCUCUUCCGCUAAUUUCCUGUAAAUCCAAACAUACAAAAUACCCACAACAAUACAAGAAAAGAAAAAAGCAGUAAACAGAACAAUCAAACUUGCUAUUGGACAACCAAAAACGCUUCUAAAUAGGCAACAAAAAUGAAUGGCGCUUAUGGGUCGUGGCAGGAAUGCUUACAAUAUAAGCAGACCCAACUUCUCGAGUAAGUACUUGAAUUAAUAGCAUGUCUAUGAUAAACAAAUUUCUUCUAGUAGAAGUGCUUAGAACAUAAGCAGACCCAAAAGCACAGACUUUUCGAGUAAGCACGUGAAUUAAUGAACAUUUCUACAUGUAUACGAUAAAAUCACUCCUAGCAGAAGUGUUUACAGAAGAAGCAGACCCAAAAGCACGUACUUUUCCGGUAAGCACUUGAAUUAACAAAAUUGUUUAUGAUAAAAUCACUUCUAGCAGAAGUGCUUACAACAUAAGCAGACCCACCAGCACAUACUUUCGAGUAAACAUUUGAAUUACUAAGCAUUUCUACAUGCUCAUGAUACACUUCUAACAGAAGUGCUUAUAACUAACCUAAGCAGACCGAAACCAAUCCGAAAUUAUCAAAAAGAAAAUGCUUGAGGGGGUAUGUUUCUGACCUGAGCGUGUAAAUGAGAGAGCCGCCGGACAAGACGACGGUAAAAACUCCCCUCUCCUUCACAAACUUGGCCGACAGGUCGGCGGUGUACUUCGCCAGACGCACCGCCACUUCCUCCUCCGUCUGAAACUUCUCCACCUUCUUCUCACACUGGCCCGCCAUCUCUGCCUACGCCGAUGAUGCGGAAAUUGGGUUCUUGAAAUUCGAGCGAACGGGUUUAAUCGAGGGGAUGGAGAUCUUGGUGCCGAUCGGAUUGAGAUUAUUCCCGGCGCUCGAGAUGUAUGCGAUGGGGACAGAGUUGUGCGGAAUGAGAGGGAAAGCUGGGUCGGCGGGAAUAUACGGAGGCCAUAAUCGGUGCGCAACCAGGCUUACUUUAGGUAGUGGCUGAGGAAAUGGCCGACACGUGUCGAAAGACAGGUCAAUUGUCUAUUAUCAACCACAUCGAUAUUGUCUUCCAUUUGUUAAUUAUUUCCAGUCUGACAAUUAUGAAAUUUUAUCACAAAAGACCAUAGUAUUAGUUGAAGUGUGGUUAGAAUAUUUAAACUUUUUCUUCAUAGAUACGUAUGGUAGUUGUGAGAUAUUUUAUCACGUCCCUCAUGGGCUAUAGAUUAGGAUAUCUCAUUACGCUUGGAACCCAAUUAAUGGGUCAUACUUGGGAGGUCUACACAUCAGAGGCAGAUUGUCUGCCCUCCUCUUUGGGUAUCAUUCUCAUCCCCUUCUAUUUUGUGCAGUCACGGUUAAGCCACGUCAACAUUUUAUAUUAAUUUUUUUUAUAGAGAUAAUAAGACAAAAAACAAUAAGAAUAUAAAAUGUUGACAUGACUUAACCGUGACCACACAAAUAGAAGGGGAUAAAAGGGCAUCUAAAGAGGAGGGUAGACAAUCUGCCUCCCUACACAUCGGUAGCCAAGUAGAGCCAAUGAGACACCCUACCCGCGGGGCCAAGGACCCACCCAUCACGUGACAGUACGGCACCCGCUCCAUGGCUUUGAUACCAUAUUGAAAUCUUCAUAGAGACAGGUCAAAAGUUCACUUGCAAAAAUAUAUUAUACCGAACUUGUUAAUUACCUACCACUUGCAUAGUUUAGCAGGUGUGGGGCUUAAUCCAAAAAAUCCUCGGUAUUAAUUGGAGGAGCGUUGGAUAUUUAAACUCUUUCUUUUAUUACAGACAUGGUUGAUGUAAGAUAUUUCAACAACAGGAACCCAAACAACAAAAGGCGAGUGAGGCUGUGUAGUCGGUUGGAAUUGAUCAGUAACGUGUGUUGGAGUUUUUGAUAGAAAUCUCCUUCUAGUUCAUUGUCCCACGUUAAUGACUAUCAAAAGUUUCUCACUUUAUAACAUUUUGUCCAAGUGAUUAGAGAGAUGGACCGGAACAAACUCCUAGUAUAAACAACAGUAGAGCAAACCAGUUUUGCUGCUGCCAGGAGCGAGACACACACAGAGACGGGGGAGAGAAGAAAGAGAGCCGGAGAAUAUGCAGAUCUUUGUGAACCCUAACAGGGAAGACUAUCACCCUCGAGGUGGAGUCUAGCGACACCAUCGACAAAGUCAAAGGCCAAGAUCCAAGACAAGGAAAGUAACACCAUCCACACGUAAGAUGUUUGAACACAGAGAUUGCAUGACAAAAUGUCACCACUUCUUAUUUACAAGCAAGAAAUACUGAAAGUACAUGACAGAGGACCAAAAUGGUCACCUCUUCUUAUUUACUAGCAUAGCAAGAAAAGCAAGCAGUGAAUCACAUUGAUUUCUGCCUACAUUAUUGAACACAAACACGUUAACAUCGACAUGUACAUAGUAAAUACAUUGGACGCAAGUGCAACGAGUUGCAAAGCCAUCGACAUUCUGCUCCUACAGCUUCGAAGCUGCUGCUUGGUCUAGGAACCAAGUUACCUCCUCUUCAGCUGCAAGCAACUGAGCAGGCAAAGUGCAAGGAGGCAAACUAUUUCCAAGUGCUAUUUUCACGGCAUCCGCUAGAUCAUCACCCGUCACCACCAUUGCAUUAUAUGCAGCAGAGUUGAUCACUGGGAAGGUAAAAGUAAUCCUCUGUAGCGAUUGAAUCAAUAAUCUGAAGGCCAUCUACUAGCACUGCUUACUUCUACUUAAGUUGGAGAUAGGUCCUAAUAUUAAGAUGGUGGUGGCUUUUUAUUUGGUGCGUGGCGGAUAUCUAGAGUUAGGCUAGUUAUUUUUGGUUUGUAACUGUAUCAACGAUUCAAAAUAGGCUCAAUUGAUAUCAGUUCACAUGUCUCCUAUUUUCGUCAUUGAGGUUAAUAUAAAGAGGUAUUCGUCGAUUUGCAUCUGAACUUGUAAGACGCUGUCAAUUCACCUCAUGAACUUUACUUUCGCCCAUGAAUUCUCAUAAUUAACCACGUUCCACCCUACUGUUUAUACUUACAUAGUGCCAUCUAAUAUUUUAAUGUCUCACUGGCUAUCCACGUGAUCACCUAUGAAAGGCUAACCGUGCGACGACGACACAUUUAUAUCAGCUGAUCGUGGCGAAACGACCACCUACGUCGUCGUGGGCUUCGCCUCCAAGCUCUUCCACUCUUCUCCAACCCCAAAUACGAAUGCUAAUGGGCCUCGGACCUCGACCCUACUCAUCUCCCAAACCGGGUACAAAUCCUCCCCUAAUCAGGCUACGACCGCAUCUAUGCGGUCGUGAUCGUCAACUGAACAUCCACCACCUCGUAAGCGCAGCUCUUCUGGUGGCAGAGAAAGUCCUAGUUUCCGGCCUGCAUCGAGCCUCACGAAGCUCAUCACAACCAUCCACCUAGCUCCCUACCUGCCACAUUGAGGUCGACUUCGACGAGGUGUUCUAGUGGCACAAGUAUUGUACGAUGUGUCAUCGAGGGUGCUGUUCACUAUCAAUGAGGGGGAAUAACCUCCGGCGACGACUGGAGCUUCAAACCUGUUACCACUUGAAAUUUGUAGGUUAACAAAUUAAAAUACUAAAUUCUUGGUGAGCGUGGGAUAUGAACUGAAUGAAAUAAACUCAAAGAUUUAAGUGGUUCAUCUUUUAAAAAUGAAAUACAUCGACUAUGUUUCUCAAAUUAUAUUGAUUUCAAAACUAAAAAUAGGGCUAGACUAACACAUGAACUCUCUCGUAAAAGCAUACGCGGCUUUCAGUCUAAGCAGCAUCAAACAAGCUUUUACUAGUUCACCAAAAAAAAAAAGAGGAAAACUAACGAAAAGUUCAAAAAAACUUCCUUUUUAAUAAAAAGAAAUUUUUAAAGGUAUAGUGAAUAGUAUCAGGGAAAUGUAUAAAUGUGACUUUCGUUAAAAGUGAACAAUACCGAUAGUGUUUUGUUAAAACUUAAAAAAAAAAACCAAGCUUUUACUCUGUUUGGGCUGAGGCCCACUUAUUUUAUAUUAAAAAACACAAGCCCAUUUCUAUCUUCAUUUUUUGGUGGGAAGCCCAUCAACGAGCAAAACCCUAGAUAAACAACCGUAGAGCAAAACAGCUUUGCCGCCGCCGAGAGCGAGACACACACAGAGAGACAGAGGGAGAGGAAGAAAGAGAGCCGGAGAAGAUGCAGAUCUUCGUGAAAACCCUAACAGGGAAGACUAUCACCCUCGAGGUGGAGUCUAGCGACACCAUCGACAACGUCAAGGCCAAGAUCCAGGACAAGGAAGGUAACACCAUCCUCCCGUAAUCUAAUCUCUCACAUUUUUUCCGACGAUCAAGUUUCGUGCUCGAAUUCAAAGUAGUACGAUUCAACGGUGAUGAUUUCUCCCCGGUAAUUGUUUUGUUUUUGUUUAGGUAUUCCACCGGACCAGCAGAGGCUCAUUUUUGCCGGGAAGCAGCUCGAGGAUGGCCGUACUCUCGCCGACUACAACAUCCAGAAAGGUUAGCAUUGUCUUAUCCCUUGUUUGGUUGCUCAGAAAAUUUUAGGAUAUGUUUGCUUGUGAAGAAUUUAAUUUAAUUUUGAGGUGUUAAUUUUUGGAUAUAUACAGUGUAAAUUUGGAAAAUGAGUUUUCGAUAUAUGUUUCCGGUUGCUAUGUGAUUGUGUUUGGAUCAUUUUACCUCGAGAAGUUUAGUAUCCAAUUUGUAUUAGCAUUACUCGAAGCGAAAUGAGCUAACGGAAGACUUGACGCAAAGCGUUUUAGGAUUUUACAGCCGAUCCCACUUAGUGGGAUAAGGCUUGGUUGUUGUUGUUUUACUCGAAGCGAAAUAUUUUCCUGUUUCUAUGUGAUUAUGUUUGGAGAUAUUCCACCUUCAGAAGUUUAUUACCCAAUUUAUAGUAGCUUUAGUUGAAGGGCUCGGGGCCGGGUUUGCACCUGCUGAUGGCCUGGUUUAUUCAUGUUGCUGGUGAUUUGUUGCGUGUUUAUACUUGUGUAUAGGUGCUUUCUGUUUGUUUAUGUUUCUAUGUGAAAUAUUUUCCUGUUUCUAUGUGAGAUUAUGUUUGGAGAUAUUUCACCUUCAGAAGUUUAUUACCCAAUUUAUGGUAGCUUUAUUUGAAGGGCUCGAGGCCGGGUUUGGACCUGCUGAGUGCUGAGGGCCUGGUUUAUUCACGUUGCUGGCGAUUUGUUGUGUGUUUAUACUUGUGUAUACGUGCUUUCUGUUUGUUUAUGUUUCACUGAUUGAAAGUUUAUUUUGAUUAUUUUUCUCAGAAUCAACUCUGCAUUUGGUUCUAAGGCUUCGCGGUGGGAUUAUUGAGCCUUCUCUCAUGGCAUUAGCUAGGAAGUACAACCAGGAAAAGAUGAUCUGCCGCAAGUAAGUUCCAACUGAUUAAGCUUUUCUUUAUUUCUUUCGAGACAUAAUCGAUGUGUUCAUUUGGAUGAGGAUUUGUAUUCUAAAAAAAGAGAAUGCGGAUGAGUAUUUAAUUUAUGCUUAAGCCCAAGCCAUUCAAUCCGAAUAUGAUUGAGCGUCCAACAUUCGUUAGUUUGAGAGCUAUUUUACUUUUCUUUGAUUCUCAUUGUAUCUCACGUAUAUAAAUGCUCGUGAGCAGGUGUUAUGCACGCCUGCACCCCCGUGCCGUGAACUGCAGGAAGAAGAAGUGCGGACACAGCAACCAGGUAUUUCAUAUAGCCGAGUGAUGUCUGUUUGAUCCUACUACCAACCGUUACUUUUUAAGGUUUGGUUCUUUAUUCGUGUCAUCUUUUAUUAAUGCAGCUUAGGCCAAAGAAGAAGAUCAAGUAAACUGGGAAUCGAGACAGCGGAAUGUCGCAUCUUUUUGGAUCAUUUAGGUCUUGGACAUUUUAUUUUAAAGCUUUGUUAGCGUCAACCAGGGUACUGUUAUAAGGUUUAGCAUCAAUAUUUUUCAACUUGCUUUGGAAUUUUUCUCUGUGAUGUUGCGUAAUCUUGGCGUUGUUUAAACUUCUGUUUGGACCCAAUUUUGCACCAUCGACCCGAGCAAUUGAGGCCGUUGAGUGAGUAGUUCUAGACCAUUGAGUACGUGAGAUGUUAAGAUAAUUUUUAGUUAUUAUUGAGUUGAGUGAUAAUAUCAUGAUUUUUAAUCAUGAUAAUUAUCUCUUAAUAACUUACUAAAUUAUCUUGCCGCAUUCGUAUCCUAAAUAAAAGGAGGUUGCAAGCAGCAAUUCGCUUACCAGCACCAUUGGACUCUACAAUAUCAUCAAGCCUUGCCAAGCCGCAGGAAUAUGCAUACUUGAAAGAUAAUAUUUGUUUAUACCAUAUUUAGGUUAGAGAGAGAGAGAGAGAGAGAUGGGAGGUAAUUGCAACAACACCGUUGAAACCGAAGCUGGUCGCUGGGGACGUUGUCGAUGAGAUUGAUCUGAUCGUAGAGAGAGAAGGCGCGUCUCCGCUACGGCAGCGAUUGCGGGUUUGCAGGUUUCGGGUGGGCUUCCUUCUGGAGGCUCCGAAUGAGGUCCGGCAGUGCCUCCAUGGCUCUCACUCUCAUCCGCAUCUCUCCCUCUCUGAUAUUUCGCAUCAGCUUUUUAGCGAGCAGCAGCUUUUGAUUUCCCCAGGAGAAGGAGAGGAUGAGACGCUGUAUAAUGCAGAAGGAGAAAAGAGGGAGGUGCUGGAGGAGAAUAUGCCAUCCAACGGAGCAGCAACUUGAACGGAGCUAAAGCGAGUGCAGAUUCUGAUGAGGAGUGUUUUGAUGAUGCAGGGAUUCUGAGGACACUGGAUUACCUUGGAAUUUCUCCGUUUGUGUUUUUGUGAUUUUGCAGAUUCACGGUGGAGGUGAAAAAAUGAAAAAGAACCGACACAAUUUUUCGUAUCGAUUCCCACCGACGGCGCUAAAUGUUAAUGCACAAAACCAGAGGUCUUGAAACAACGUAAAUCCGACCGUGAAUCUGCAUGAAAUGUAAAUAACACAAGAUGUAUCGUGGUUCACCUCAAGGUUUGGGCUACGUCCACAUUUAUUUGAGGGAGUGAGAGCUCUGAGAGAGAGCUUUGAGAGAGGGUGAGAUGGCCUAGGAAUUGGCCUCCCCCAAUUGUGAGGGUGAGGGGUCCUUUUAUAGAAUAAAGACUCCUCACUUAUUAUAUAUUUGCCUAUUCUUUUAUUACAUAAUUACAUUUAAGUUCCCAAGUAUUUGUACGAUAUCUAAAUACGAGGCUUUAAAUAUGGUAUAAACAAUAUUCAUGUUAUCUUGGAAUUGGCUACUGAUGAAUUAUAAAUACAGAGUCGUAGGCCACAUUGAAAACCUCCUUCCAAAUCAACACACAAAUUGCCUUGCGCAAAGCUUCUUAACAACCCUGAGAUUUUUUCCUCUCUCCCUUUCUUCUCGUCAACACAUCAUCAGUUUGGAUAAACAACAUUGGGAAGGCAAUCGGCGACAUCUUCAGUUUGAUAGACAACACUGGAGUCGUAGAAUCAAUUGACUGAGAAGCACUUUCAGUUUGGAUAGACUACACAGCUUCGAGACCGAUUGGUUAUUUAUGUAAGUCUUGGUUAACAAGGAUUUUCGAGUCCUUGUUGGUAAAGUUCAUCUCAUCAGCAUUCUCGGUAAAGUGAGGUGUUACCAGGUUACUACAUUUGGCACAUUGAAAGUCGAAUUUGAAAUUGAACUUCGCUGAACUAGCAGCCUUGUCUUCAGGCUCUAGAACCCGAAGGUCGAUACGUGUUCCUUUCUCAGCCGCAGUCGCAAGAUCAAAAAGUCAGCAGCGCGCCCAAUGCCAAAUCAACAUAUUUUACUCCCCGGCCGAAAUCGGCCGACUAGUUGAUACGCCCCGCGGACAACCGAAUGACAUAAUUAACUUAUUAAUUACUCGUCCUACGCGUCAUGUAAGCUUGAUAGUUUUUACCAUCAACUUCUUACUAUGAGAAAUGGCAUUCAAAAGCAAUCGCUUUCCUUCCAUUUCUUCAUUACCACAUUCUGAAACGGAUAAACCAAAUUUACAAGUUGUGCGAUGAUUUGAUAGGUUCAUCUCUUCUGUUCAUCUGUUCAAGGAUAAGAUCAGAAUUCGCAUCAACUUGUCUGGAAAAUGUUUUGGAUCAUCUUCCGUCUUGUUCAAUCUGCAGUUGCCCAAUGUAACUGUCCUUUUCCAAUUUGUUCGAUCUGCGUCCGAUCGAUCGAGGCACUGAAAACACAAUAGGGGAAGGCCAAAAUUAAAAAAAUGAGCCUGAAUUGACAGCUGUGGGAUUUGAACCCACGCCCUUUCGGACCAGAGCCUAAAUCUGGCGCCUUAGACCACUCGGCCAAACUGUCAUGUUUCGUCGUUCUUAACAAAAACAAAUUCAUAUUAUACUAAGAGCAGUUCCAUCAGUUAAGAAGAACAAAGGGCAAGGUAGUUAAGUUGGCCUUAUUAUUCACUAUAAAUAGUACUUGCCUAUGUGCGCUUCAAUCCGUUGGGCAAGGGAAAUGGCAAGUCAAUUACUAUUCACCAAUGUAAUUUUUUUUCUUCUUUAGGUUGUUUUGUUGGCUUUAUCCUUCACGUGUUAUAUUCGUUUUAAAUUUCCGAUAGUUCACUUCAUAACUUUCUACGCGUUCACUUGCAUGUAAUUCGUAAUGGAAUAACCCAAUUUCAGGAAUUUGAUUAACUAGGGGAGGUGUUAAUCCAAUUCCCUUUCCUUACUUUUUUCCAUUCCGAAGUUAUUCCUUAUUUUCCUCUUACCGAGAAGUAAACGAAGCAUGGUGACAGCGGAUAAGUAACUGAUUAGUUUUGGUGCAACAUGAAUCAUACAAACUAUGAAUUAGAGUCCCACUGAUCUGUUGCUUUUUUCAUGCAAUCUCUCGUGACCCUGCAACGCACACAAACACACAUACACUCAUGCAUGGAGGGCACAAAGACGUCCAUCCAUCGCUUAAAUUUUGCUUCUUCCCAGUUAUGUUCUCCAAACAACUGCCUGUUGUAAUAUUCUUUGCUCUCAAGGAACGCGAGAGCAAAGAAUACUAGUCUCUGCAGAACAAUUAGCGGACCGGAUUAUGCAAUAGCUCGACAGAUGUAAGCUCAAGAACGAUGUUAACUGGCUUACGCUUAUCAAGCUGCUGAAUAAUCCGGUUCGCUUACUGUUCUACAUCUAACUCAGCAGAAGAUGUAAGUUAAGGCGUCCACACCUCACUUAUGCUUUAGUUUAGAAGGAUCAAUACAUUGAUUAUAGUAAAAAUCUUCACUCUAAAUAUUACACCAAACUUUUAUAUGCAGGGUGUUGGGGGAAGGGGGGGUGUUGAAAAUUUCAAGCCCAGAAAUUUAACCAGUGUAAAUUACAACGUGAUGGAUCAAACAAAAUGCUGCCUGAAUCCAGCCUAUGCAAUUCUUGAGGUGUCGCAGAGGCAUCCAAUUGACCUAUCUUCAGAAGCUCAUCAUGUCUUUCAUCUCCAUACUCCCCACCAACAUCAUUGCUUGUAUGUGAAUCUAUGACUCCUCUCCGCUCCAAUUCCUCUUCUAGUCUUACUUGAGCAGUCGUCUCACAAUUCCCAUCUUUGUAACUCGAUCCAUCCGCCGUCUGAUUCAUGAGAGAAUCUUCGGUAGGGGCGCCAUCUCGAGAUGUUCCCACAAGAUCAUUCAACUUCUGCAACUGCUCAAAAUAACCAAAAAAAAAGAUGUUUAAUGUUGACGACCAAGCUAGAAAUUUAGAAUGCAAUUUCAUGAACAACGUUUGGCUCCUUACAUAUAAAUGCAAAUCACAAUCUGAUAGAACAACUUAUGCACGCAUGUCAAACCGUGAUUUUAUGUAUAAACAUGAUCGUUCUCACAUGAGAGGAGCCAAGUGUUUUUUCCUGAUUUUCAAAUUAUGAGAAACUGAAUAAGUUUAUUUACUUUACCUGCAUAAGCAAGGACUGCUUCUCCUCCUUCAAAGAUUCAAACCGACAUGCUAACUUGUCAUAAUCUUCUCUGAGACUUCUCAAGUCCCGCUCCAUCUGUUUCGACUUCCAUCUAGCUCUUCUGUUCUGAAACCAUAUGGCAACCUGGCGAGGCUGCAGCCCAAGCUCUCUUGCCAAUUGCACCUUCCUCCUCGGCUCGAGCUUCGAGUCUGCUUCGAAUAUAGACUCCAACAAACUGAUUUGUUCGUCGCUAAAUCGCCUCGUGUUUGUGCCCUUGUUCUUCUUCCUUUUCGUCGCGAACUGCGGCUCUGGGCCGCUCACAUAAUCCAAGUUUUCUUCUUCAUAGCACUCCUCUUUCCUCCUUUCCAUGACUCUGAUUCUCGGUUUUCAGUCCGAUCUUGGACUUGAUUGAUAUCGACUUGAAAUGUUCUCGACAAUUGUUGAAAUAUUAAGUAACGUUAAAUUUAUAAGUGGAUGUGGCUUAGGAAUCUUGGUAACGAUGUGAGCUUCUAGCAUAUAUAGUAAGGGUUGAAGAGUCUAUCUUCUCACUCACGCGGUUGCUUUCUUAUAAUUGGAAGUUGUUGAUUGAUAGGUUAUCGUAGGCUAAACCAAUGGUGUUAGCUAGCGUAAGCCACCCUUCAUUUCAUAAUUUCUUGCCUUGUGGACCUCUCCAAUUCGAGAAAUUUUUCAGUAUGCCGAAAAUACAGUUUGAUACACCAAGUAUCGUAAUACAAAUUGUUAGAUUUUUUUUAAGUAUCCAAUCACUUGGUGUAUCAGACUGUGUUCUUGGAAAAUUGAAAAUUUUAUCCUGUUCACUGUUAUCUUUCUUUCUUUCCCAUCUCUAGAAAUACCAGUGUAUGUAUGUUUCUUGCAUGCACAAAGCACACAAUUUUGGCUUGUUUUGUGCUUUUUUUGGGUGGAAAUAAUGAGAAAAAGUAGAUGCAUUACACAAUCUACAGGAUUUGAAAAGAAGAAACUUGAACUUGGGUUGCUUGUUUAGGUGUCGAUUUGUAGUCCGUAGAUGAUGUCCCAAUUGCCAUUCACGUACCAUAUAUACUUUUUGCUUUUUGACAAUGAGCACCCAAUAAUACAAGGACAAGGAUUGUCUGCCAUCCUACUUUCAAUGCCCUUCAGUGUCCUUCUGUUUUGUGUGAUCACGAUUAAGCCACGUCAACAUUUUAUAUUGUUUUUUUAUGAAGAUAAUAAGAUAAAAAUGAAUAGUAAUAUAAAAUGUUGAGUUGGCUUAACCGUGACCACACAAAUAGAAGGGUACCGGAAGGCACCGGAAGUGGGAGGGCCGACCAUCAUUGUCUAUAACACAAACACUAGUGUUCUAUUAAUUUUUCAAUUCAAUUAUGAUAAAAUCUUGUCCGUCACCUGUGAUACUAUUUACAACCGAUGAAACUGCAUAAUCUCUCGACUGCCAUAUUAUUUAAUUUGUCUAAAUCAUAGGCAUAAAAAAGUUGGCACUCGCAAAAUCGUACAUCAAAAGAUUAAUAUAUAGAAGAUUUGUAAUUUAACGGUGCAUAUUUCAUCUAUCAUUAUUUUUUUAUAUACUUUUUGACAAUAGGAAACACCAACAAUUCAAAUACUCAUGCCUUUUUCUUGACUCUUGAGUGCAACAUAUAUUUACAACGUGGUAAACACUUACAUCAAAAGAUUAAUAUAUAGAAGAUUUGUAAUUUAACGGUGCAUAUUUCAUUUGUCAUUAUUUUUUUAUAUACUUUUUGACAAUAGGAAACACCAACAAUUCAAAUACUCAUGCCUUUUUCUUGACUCUUGAGUGCAACAUAUAUUUACAACUUGGUAAAAUCUUAUCGUCAAAUAUGUACAACUAAUGACAUGGCAAAACCUCUAGACCAUAAAAUUUAUUAACUCGCAUAUUAUUCAUAUUAAAAAACUAAAAGUAAUGUGACUAAGUAUGACUUGCAUGAUGAAACAUACUAUACAAAUAUUUCACUUUCAAAAAUAUCUAACAUGUCUAUAGAAAAUUGAUGGUCGCACAUAUGGCAAGUUUUGGUUAAUAUUCAAUUGUGUCAUGAGUUGUAUAUGGUCGUGUAAGAUAGGAUGAUGGCAACUUUAGAUGAAGAUAAAAUUGCGUCGCCUAAUGCCGACAAACGAAAGGAUCGGUUUCAAUACACUUGUCAAGUUAAAUCAAAAGGAGAAAGCAAAGGCCAAUGCUUUUUCAAUAAAAGCCAAUCAUAUCGGUGGGGCUUUCUGCACUGAUGUCUCUCACUCCUCCAUUUUGUUUGGUUUCUAGUGCUUAGUUUCAUCCUACUCAAUCGAUGCGUCCAUUUUCUAUAUGGCUAGGUCCAGUGUCUUUCAGGGUUCCAUGGUUGGUGUGGUGUCCUCUCCAGACUCCCAUGAGACGUGCUCACUCCUCUCAAAUUCAUGCAUGCCUUUUGGGAUUAGGUCACACUUGCACGCCACGGGAGCACUUUAUCGUUUACAAUGUGGCAAGAAAUAAAAGGGUCAUGUUAGAAUGGUUAAAAGCAUUUUCGGAAUGAUUUGGGAAGUGUACUGGCAAAGUUUUUAUUGACAUAAUGUUCAACAAUACUUUUACGCCAUGUUUGAGACUACUUUUUAAAGGAUUAAAAGUUUUAUUUGAUAAUUGAAAUUUCUUUUACUUAGCUUGGCGGAAAACAUUUAAAAUGCUUUUGAAAUAUAGAAGCAUAUCUGUAGAAUCACCUAUUAGAUCCUAUUUCAUAAAGCAUUUGAAUUUAAUAAAAUUUCAACGUGUUUCUAAUUAAAACACUUCUAGCAAAGCAUUUUAAAUAAAAGCAAUCCCAUAUCAGCUUUUAGAAGGGUCUCAUUAAAUAAAAAGCGUUGUGAUUCAAGAAAGUUACACAUAAAAGCAAUUACAAGCAAGUGUUUUCUAGUAACUUCAUAAGCGGCCUAAAGUGGACUUCCGUUUUCAUUAGGUUUCCAGUUUGGAAUCAAAGUAAAAAUGGAUUAGCUCGAUCAUGAUAGAACUUAUGUAUUGAUUCUUAAGCAAAAUUCUGGUUUAAGAACCAAUUAAUGAACUAAUUAAAAACUCAACAGAAAACAAAACUGUCCUCCAUCUUGGCCUAACUGGUGGCCUCAUUUAUGUCGUCUGAGUAUUGAGCAAGCUGGGACAAAAAAAUUGUUAUCCAAGUCCAGGAUACUUGGCUGCAUUUCGUGCCAGGACUGGUGAACUCAGGAUAAGCAUAACAUGGAUUAGCAUUUAUUGUCGUCCGGGUAAGUCUGGUGUAGAUGUGAUGUGGCUAACCUGAACAAAUUCACGCUGUUUUUACUUGUCAAAUAUCGUUAAUUCGUCUUUGGUAUUUAGGUGCUUUGUGAGGACACGUUUCGGGGAGCGAUUCGAGCCAAAUGUCAGUCUCUGCCGUCGACAACAAGCGGGCAAAACUUUGGGGGCCAAAAAAUCUUUAAGUGAUGACUUGCGUGGCUCUCGAACCAUUAAGAAGAAGGGAUUGGAUUGCUGUCGUUGUUGCAUGAUUUCAACAUCAAUAGUUCACCUUUCCUUAAUUAAAUGUAGAUUGUGUAAGAAUGUGAAGGUAAAAGACCAUCACAUUGGUGAAAGGAGAAACUUUGCAUUGAUUUAUAAGAGGUUGGGUUACUCCUCAUAUUGCCAAUUAAUUGUAUAGUGGAGUCUCAACUCUUUUCCGAUUGACGAUUAACUAAUUUGAUCCAUUACCUUGUCCCUCAAGUUAAAAAUAGCCUUAGGGUUUGUAAACCAUUUGUUUCUAUUUCACCAAAUGAAAGAAGAAAUAAAAACAAUUACUUCAAUUACCUUUAGAUGCAACAAGAAACAUGGAGGCACACGUGUCUUGAUCAAACGGUAGGCGAAGUUCCUAUUGAUCACCAUAAGAAAAUAAACUUAUUAGACAUCUUUGUUAAUAUUUCUCUAACCCAAAUAUUAUAAGCAUGUUAUCUCAAAUAAAAGUAAAUAUACAAAGCAUUAGCAUCUAUAAACCGGAUGGAUUUUCAGAACUUGAAGACGAUGACAAUUUUCUAGUACUUCCAGCAAUCCAUCAUACUGGAGGAUCCCCCAUGAGCAACCUAUUUCCAAACAGGUUAGGCAUUUCGACACUGGCAUAACAGCUGCAACUCCAACAUAUGGAUUCUGCACAGGCUAUUUGUUCGAAUAAUUAAUAUUUUUUAGGAAUAAUUUGCUUAAGGUCACAUAAUAUUUUCAAUAAUUAAGAUUGGGUCAUCUGACGCCACUCAGUACUAUGGUCUGGUGGUAUUCCUCUUUACUUGUAAGUGAAAAGUCUUAGAUUCGAAUCUUGUAGAUGACGAAUUCGAUACCAAUUUAGGUUGUCUAUUGUGGGAUUUAACCGAACUCCCAUCCCCGUAGUGUAAAUUAUAUCGUUGUACUAAAAAAAUAUAUAUAUAUAUAUAUAUAAAUAAUUAGGUCAUGUCUGACACUUUAGCGACAAAGAUAUAGGAUACUAGAACAAAAACAAAAAUGUAAUGACAUAGAAUUACCCCGGGAAAAUAUAAGAUUUUGAAGACAAGAGGAGAGUUUUGUUGUACUUUCUUCAGUUCGUUAGGAAAGAAACCCAGAUUUUCAAAAAUCGUAUUGAACUUGGUUAGGACGUUCUUGAACACAGGAAUCGAAUCUAAGAGUUUUCUUCACCAUAAAAUUUAGUAUAACAACAUAGGGUAAUUUCAACUUUACUGUCCUCAUGUUUCGUAAAACAAAUAACUUCGACCACCUUGAGAUGCGACAAGAUAUAUCUAUCUUAACAACAUGCUCAACAUUCCCGAUUGAUAGAUAGAUAAAAUUCCUGAUUGAUAGAUCAACAUUCCCGAUUGAUAGAUCAGAUAUUUUUAGGUUCCCGUAACAACAUGCGAUAAGAGAUCGUCAUGGAAAGAGAUUCAAAUAUUUUAGUCGAUAUUUUGAAUCAUAAAGCUCAAGUUCCAUGGCGUGUUCGAUCAGUCGUCGGUUCUACAAGACAUUUUAAACCAUAGAGAGAAACGAACAUGAUUGCAAACGGUUUUGCUAUAUUACGACCUUAUUACUACCAUUCAUGUGUAUGGUUCACUAAUUUUCCUAACAUUGUUAUUUCCAUAAUACAAUUUGCUACAUAUGGUUAAAGAUUUGUAGAUGAUCUUGAUUGUAAUUUGUCUGUUUCUAAAGGAAAACAUAGCUAUUGCUUAACUUGAGAAUAACCAAUAUUAUAAGCAUAUGUGUGUGUGUGUGUGUGUGUGUAUGUAUACCCCAUGAAUUUUCAGAACUUGAAGACGAGGAGUGCUUUGCAGUGCUUUCAGCACUUCGUUACAAUUUCGUCUUACCCACGGGCCACAUGUAUCCCACUUCCAAACAGGUCCACUGCUCGAACAUUGGCAUAUCAUCAACAUUUCGAUCUAUUGGUUUAUUAAUCAAGAAUAAAAUCAAUGAAGACAUAUUAAUUAGCAACAGUAUAAGGACUAAAUAAUAGUAGUAGAACGAAAAAUGCAAUUAUAUUGCAUGUAAUUACCGAGCUCAAUUGAAGAUAUUUAAGACAAGGAGAGUUUUGUAGUAUUUUCCGCACUUCAUUAGAAUUGAUAAAACUUUGAAAGCACAUAUGGUUUAGGAAUUGGAACAUGGGAAUCGCAUCCAAAAGGUUUUCCUCAAUAUCUCCUGGAACCUAAAAAUGUAAAUUUGACAUAAAACAUCAGUGAUACAAUAUUUAUAUUGAGAAACAGAAUAUUUCAAACAUGCAUCUUCGCUUGACAACAUAUGAAGCAACGAAUUUCAAAAGAAGCUACUGUAGUAGAUUGCAUACCUUAAGAUCGAGUUUUUUUUACAUUAGAGAGACAUCCAAGAAGCAUAUAAAUUCGAUAGGUAGCAACUUUAUCACCUAUUACAUAACACUCAAUGCAUGCCUCCUCAAGUGAGGAUUGAUUGUACAAGUAAUGCUCAUUUUUGAAUCUACCAGAGCAUGUAUAAUGUUUGAGAUUAGUUCCAUGAACCAUGACCCGACAACCAUGAUCGAAGUUUCCAAAAGGGGUGUGCUAUCCACACACCUCUUUUUAUUUCUCACACACCCCUUGUUAAUUUCUGUCUUUUGAUCUUCUUCAAUUCCUCUUAUCCGACGGCCGAAAAUAAGAAGGGUGUAUAAAAAGUAAAAAGAGAUGUGUGGAUAUCACACCCCUUUCCAAAAUAAUCUUAAUGUACGGUCAAUCUCAAAAAGUUUUGGUGCACGAAUAUUGACAAUCCUGACGUUCGGCAAGAACAGGAAUUUUGAUAAGCAUAAAUCUUCAAGGACUGGACAGCUAGAAAAUAAUUGAUUGGUCGAUUGUUCAUCCGAGAAUUUAACAAGCUUGAGCACCAAGGUUUUGAGGCUGGAAAAACAUGUUGUAGGGGGACGUUAGAAGACACUAGGCAUGCAUAGAUCUAAAUGCACAAGUGAUUCGCAAGAAAACAAGCAGCAAAGCAACGCAAGUAAUUCUGCAUCCAGUAUUUUGUUUCCGUAAAUGUUUUCAUCAAUGUAGAUAGAUAAAUCCUGCACAUUCCGCAUCUACACCUUUGAUCCAACGCAUAAUGACAGAGGUCAUAGCUUCUUAAUCGUAGUGUUGAUAUAUAAUUAUAACAUGGAAGCUUUUUACGAAAUGUUGAAGAAAAAUUGCCCUAUCCACAUAAUCUGAAAACUGUUCUAUCUUCCGAUCCCGGUUGAAGGGGAAUUUACGCAAGUCAAUGAUGGGAUUGACGUAUCUCCACCUUUUUGAUAAUAUGCUCGUUCUAACUGCUUCUUUAGGGUUGAAGUAGGAUAUCAUGAGUUGAAGAAUGUCGUCAGGUAAAUCACUCAAGCUUCUGUUGCUGCUGCUAAGCUUUCCUGUUUCCAGAUAUUAUUCAUCUUCGGUUAUUCAACAAUAUUAGCUCACCUAAUUUUUUCAUAAAAAAAAAAAAAAGGAACAAAAUUGAGUCACUUACGCUAUAGAAAUUAACCCAGAAAGAGCUUACGGUUUAGAAAUUUCAAGUCGAAGACGCAGCUGAAGAAUUCCAAAUUAUUAAUUUAGAAAUAGUGAACAAGCAGCCAGCAGGACACCCCACUGGCACUCUCCCGUCGCUCCAAUGACUCCAGUCUCUCCGGUCUCCAGGAAACAGAUAUGAGAGCAGAGAGGGAGGUGGUUCUACAAUUAUAUAUGCGCCUUUUUCAUGGGCUUUCCAUAUGGGCCUUUUAAAUCUGGCAUUUUUCUUAGAUUUCUCGGUCCUGUUUUGUUCAUUUUUCAAUUAAUAUUACGAUUUAAUGAGAUUCUCUUAUUGGUAAAUCUACAUUUCUAUAUAAGUCAAAAUUUUUAUUUAAUUCGACUUCCAUGAAUGACGAGUUGGAUAUAAGACUCAAUAAUCAAUUGUAGAAUCCGUUUGAAAAUUAUUUUUAAGUUGCUUUUUCGUUCAUAAGUGUCUCUAAUAAAAACGCUUCUCUUAGAAGGAGAAGCAAACACAUUUUACCUUUAAUCAAGACGCAAAUUAGAGUUUGGCAUCCACUUUUUCACACCCUUUGGACAAGUUGAAGAAUCUUCAACUUCUAAAAAAACCAUUUAAUUUGUUCGAUCACCAAUUAUACCAUAAUCACAAGAAAACUGAGUAAAAACUUUUGAGCUUCAAGCAUUUCAUAUGCACAGUUAUGGAUAUGACGAAAUCCAUCCCAUAAUCUCCAUAAAAAUUAACUUCGACCACCCUUAAUUGUGACAAGAAACAUGGAGAUACACGGGCCUUAUCAUCGUUUAUACUAAAAUUCCUUGAUGGUGAAUUCCAUAUUUUCUAUAUAUUGGAGUUGUGGUAGAUGAUAAACACAUAUGUUAAGACGUUUGAGGUUUUCUUGAUUGUUAAUUAUGUUUGUACCAUACUUGACCAAUUCCGAAACUAUCAAGCACCGGUCAACGUCAUACCUUCAAGGACCCACUGAGGGGUUCAUACUAAGGCACCCCUGCCAAAGCACAAGAGUUUCCCUCCAACCAGGAAGCCAAUCACAGCACGACAAAUGUCAACGUCAAAAUAAAGCUCAUAGAGUCCCACUUCGACCGCAGACAAAAGUUGGAGACUCUCCUCAGCUAUAAAAGAAGACCAUUCUCCUACAAUUAAUCUCUAAUGUCAUUAUUGUACUUAAACCAGUCAUUAGAACUCAUUAAUGAUGAUUAUUCUUAAACUUAUGUAUUUGUGUAAACCCUCCACUAUUAAUGAGAACUCAUCUACCCCGUGGAUGUAACCAAACUGAGGGUGAACCACGUACAUCUUGUAUUUGCUUCUCUAUCUCUAUCUCUUUACAUAUUUAUCCUCACUAGUGACUCGGAGAAACCAAGCGAAUGUCACAAACUUGACACUUUACAUUGUUCCAAAGUCUUCAUUGAUUUUGUGUAUCAACAAUUUCCAUAUUACUAUUGGAGUUGGCUUCAAGUAUUUUGUUUAGUUUUCCUGUGUAAUUUAUCACUCUAGGUAAAAAAUAUAAUAACUAAAGAAUUUAAAGAUGAUAUAGUCAUAAUAAGAUGAGGAUUUAAUUUUAAUGGUUGACUCAAUUUUUUUUAAUACAAAUAAUAUUUUUAUAUUAAAAAGAAAAAAUUUAGAAUAAACUGUGAUAGUUUAGUUCAAAUUCGCUUGAUAAAGAAUAACAUUUAAUAUCUCUUAUGAAAUAAACAGAGUGUGCCCACC